rnacentral:rRNA from 1 species
ACGUAGGGGGCAAGCGUUGUCCGGAGUUACUGGGCGUAAAGCGCACGCAGGCGGUCGAUUAAGUUUGGAGUGACAGUUGGUGGCUUAACUGCCAAAGUGCUUUGAAAACUGAUCGACUUGAGGACUUCAGAGGGACACGGAAUUCCACGUGUAGCGGUGAAAUGCGUAGAGAUGUGGAGGAACACCAGUGGCGAAGGCGACUUUCUGGUCUGUAACUGACGCUGAGGCGCGAAAGCGUGGGGAGCAAACAGGA